GGCCCGGUAGCUUAGUUGGUAAAGCGCUCGUUUAGCAUACUAGAGUCUUGGGUUCAAAUCCCAGCCGAGCAC
rfam:Aedes aegypti strain Liverpool supercont1.28 genomic scaffold, whole genome shotgun sequence.